GAGAAGAGGGCGCUGUCAUCUGGGCGACGGCGCGUGAUCAGUGACCGAAGUGCGCGGAUCAGGCCCUCCUGUAGCUGCUCCACGGCCCGCAUAUCUGAGAUUCCAGACCGGUCUGAGGAGCACAGAGGAUGUUAGUAGACCAGCACCACAGCCAUGAAAAGUGCCAUUUCAUCGGGCUCUAGCCCCAAGGAGCUCAACUUCUCGCUGAAUUCAAACAUUGCAUCCAGAAGAGAGCCCAUGCCCAAGGCCCGCAGGGUGGACAGCGGUCAGGCGUUGUGGAUGAGCUGAGACACGACCUCACGUGUCUGCGGGGUCUGCUGCUUCCUCCGCUCCAAUAAUAGCCUCUCUCCCCUGGCACCGUGCCCAGCGCCAGCUAACAGCACGACACCUGACCGCCGCCUCACAUGCGUGGACUCCUGACACGGAUCCCGGCCGAACCAAAUCCGCAGCCUCGUGUUGAAAUGUAGACAAUCCGAAGUCAGACGUGUGUUUAUAAACAUUCGCUGACCGGGAAGCUCCCGGAGCGUGAGUCUCAGUCACUGCUGUUCAUGUGCCACCAUCAAUUGAAGAAUGCCAGUCACGUUUUUGAGCAGAGUAAAAACAAAAAAAAAAAAAAAAA